rnacentral:rRNA from 1 species
GCCCCAGUAACGGCGAGUGAAGCGGCAAGAGCUCAAAUUUGAAAUCUGGCCUCCUUCGGGGGUCCGAGUUGUAAUUUGUAGAGGAUGCUUCGGGUGUGGCCGCCGUCUAAGUUCCUUGGAACAGGACGUCAGAGAGGGUGAGAAUCCCGUCUUGGGCGGCCGGUCCGCGCCCGUGUGAAGCUCCUUCGACGAGUCGAGUUGUUUGGGAAUGCAGCUCUAAGCGGGUGGUAAAUUUCAUCUAAAGCUAAAUACUGGUCGGAGACCGAUAGCGCACAAGUAGAGUGAUCGAAAGGUUAAAAGCACCUUGAAAAGGGAGUUAAACAGCACGUGAAAUUGUUGAAAGGGAAGCGCUUGCGGCCAGACUCGGGGGCGGGGUUCAGCGGGCGCUCGUCGCCCGUGUACUCCCCGUCUCCCGGGCCAGCAUCAGUUUCGACGGCCGGUCAAAGGCCCCCGGAAUGUGUCGUCUCUCGGGACGUCUUAUAGCCGGGGGUGCAAUGCGGCCCGUCGGGACUGAGGAACGCGCUCCGGCUCGGAUGCUGGCGUAAUGGCCGUAAGCGGCCCGUCUUGAAACACGGACCAAGGAGUCUAACAUCCACGCGAGUGUUCGGGUGUCAAACCCGUGCGCGCAGUGAAAGCGAACGGAGGUGGGAGCCUUAGGGCGCACCAUCGACCGAUCCUGAAGUCUUCGGAUGGAUUUGAGUAGGAGCGUGGCCGUUGGGACCCGAAAGAUGGUGAACUAUGCCUGAAUAGGGUGAAGCCAGAGGAAACUCUGGUGGAGGCUCGCAGCGGUUCUGACGUGCAAAUCGAUCGUCAAAUUUGGGCAUAGGGGCGAAAGACUAAUCGAACCAUCUAGUAGCUGGUUCCUGCCGAAGUUUCCCUCAGGAUAGCAGUGACGAUAUU